UGCAGUCGAGCGGUAACAGAAAGAAAGCUUGCUUUCUUUGCUGACGAGCGGCGGACGGGUGAGUAAUGCCUGGGAAUAUGCCUUAGUGUGGGGGAUAACUAUUGGAAACGAUAGCUAAUACCGCAUAACGUCUUCGGACCAAAGAGGGGGACCUUCGGGCCUCUCGCGCUAAGAUUAGCCCAGGUGGGAUUAGCUAGUUGGUGAGGUAAAGGCUCACCAAGGCAACGAUCCCUAGCUGGUCUGAGAGGAUGAUCAGCCACACUGGAACUGAGACACGGUCCAGACUCCUACGGGAGGCAGCAGUGGGGAAUAUUGCACAAUGGGGGAAACCCUGAUGCAGCCAUGCCGCGUGUAUGAAGAAGGCCUUCGGGUUGUAAAGUACUUUCAGUCGUGAGGAAGGUGUUGCAGUUAAUAGCUGCAGCAUUUGACGUUAGCGACAGAAGAAGCACCGGCUAACUCCGUGCCAGCAGCCGCGGUAAUACGGAGGGUGCGAGCGUUAAUCGGAAUUACUGGGCGUAAAGCGCAUGCAGGCGGUCUGUUAAGCAAGAUGUGAAAGCCCGGGGCUCAACCUCGGAACCGCAUUUUGAACUGGCAGACUAGAGUCUUGUAGAGGGGGGUAGAAUUUCAGGUGUAGCGGUGAAAUGCGUAGAGAUCUGAAGGAAUACCGGUGGCGAAGGCGGCCCCCUGGACAAAGACUGACGCUCAGAUGCGAAAGCGUGGGGAGCAAACAGGAUUAGAUACCCUGGUAGUCCACGCCGUAAACGAUGUCUACUUGAAGGUUGUGGCCUUGAGCCGUGGCUUUCGGAGCUAACGCGUUAAGUAGACCGCCUGGGGAGUACGGUCGCAGAUUAUACUCAAAUGAUGACGGGGCCGCACAGCGUGGAGCAUGUGAUUAUCGAUUGCAGUCGAGUGCAGUCGAGUGCAGUCGAGUGCAGUCGAGUA
rnacentral:rRNA from 1 species